AACCACGGAAUGUUCGCCAAACAAUCAAUUCAAGUAUAUAUGGUUUCUUUAAUUUAAUUUGUUGACUCCUACGUUGUCGUUAGGUGUAUAUGCUGCUGAAGAGGAUACGAUGAUAGUAAAGGUUAGAUCGCCGACGUCGGAGAUGUACCCGGAGGUGAAAGAAACAGAUAAGGUGAGAGAUUUGGCGAAGAUUAUAGAACAGGCAUGGGGCAAUGAUCCCAUGAUUCUUCGCCAUAACGGUGUGGAAAUGCAGAGUGAUCAGCCACUGUCUGUUUACAUUUUACAAUGUCAGAGAUGGCUCCGUCGUCAAAGUUUCUGUUCUUGCUGAACCUCCUCAUUAUCCUCAACCCAAAUAUUUGAAUAAAACACAAGAUGGAUCACUGCCGGAAACCAGCACCGCCGGUAGCAGUGUGGGCUGUUAUAAUGUCAUACUUCACCUUCUUAAUAUUAUAUCACGAUCUUGUUCGUUCUGACCUUUAAUAAAAGUACUGUUCACUAUAGUAUAUAUAUAUAUUGUUGUAAGCUUGCAUGCCCAUAUAUAUACAUAUGUCACAUUUCUUC